rnacentral:hammerhead_ribozyme from 1 species
GCACUGCUGAGUAGUGCCACAAUAGGACGAAACGGCCGUCCAGUGC